CGCCAGACUCCUACGGGAGGCAGCAGUGGGGGAUAUUGCACAAUGGGCGCAAGCCUGAUGCAGCGACGCCGCGUGAGCGAAGAAGUAUUUCGGUAUGUAAAGCUCUAUCAGCAGGGAAGAAAAUGACGGUACCUGACUAAGAAGCUCCGGCUAAAUACGUGCCAGCAGCCGCGGUAAUACGUAUGGAGCAAGCGUUAUCCGGAAUUACUGGGUGUAAAGGGAGCGUAGGCGGCAAGGCAAGUCUGAAGUGAAAGGCGGGGGCUCAACCCCCGGACUGCUUUGGAAACUGUUUGACUGGAGUGCAGGAGAGGUAAGUGGAAUUCCUAGUGUAGCGGUGAAAUGCGUAGAUAUUAGGAGGAACACCAGUGGCGAAGGCGGCUUACUGGACUGUAACUGACGUUGAGGCUCGAAAGCGUGGGGAGCAAACAGGAUUAGAUACCCGCGUA
rnacentral:rRNA from 1 species